AGUUGGCAAUGAUUUUACGGGAUGCGCAUAGUAGUACUAAGACCAAGAAAUCGUCUCAAAAGGCUAACCAAUCAUCCAAGGAAGCACACAAUACCAAGGGCAAGGAAUCAUUUCUGAAGGUUUACCAGUGGAAGUAUAUACAUUGUCUUGAGCUUUGGACUGCAGCUAUUUGUGCAUACAGUUCAGAACCUGAGUUUAGGCCCCUGGCUUAUCCGCUGACGCAAAUAAUUUCUGGAGCAGCUCGUUUGGUUCCAACUGCUCGCUAUUUUCCCCUUAGAUUGCGAUGCAUCAAAAUGCUCAACAGAAUUGCUGCAUCCACCAAUUCUUUUGUUCCUGUUUCCUCACUCCUCUUAGACAUGUUGGAAAUAAAAGAGUUGCGUAGGCCUCCAACAGGGGGAGUUGGAAAAGCCAUAGAUUUCCGUACUGUUUUAAGGGUUAGCAAGCUUACAUUGAAAACGAGAGCAUUCCAGGAAGCAUGUGUGUUUUCUGUGGUUGAGGAACUUGCUGAGCAUCUUGCUCAAUGGAGCUAUUCAGUUGGUUUCUUUGAGCUCUCUUCUGUCCCUGUUGUUAGGUUACGCAACUUCUGCAAGUCCACCAAUGUCGAUAGAUUCCGUCGCGAAAUAAAGCAAAUUAUUCGCGAGAUUGAAACCAAUUCGGAGUACACAAAUAAGAAGCGCAUGACAGUUUCAUUUCUGCCUAAUGACCCAGCGGCAGCAUCUUUUCUUGAGGUUUGAACAUCCUGAUGUUUAUCUUUCCCAUUACCAGUAAAAUUUCAUUCAAUCACCUUUCAUUUUUCAACCAACCUAUACCU
rnacentral:misc_RNA from 1 species